GCCGGGUGUGGUGGCUCACACCUGUAAUCCCAGUGGCUUGGGAGGCUGAGGCAGGAGAAUCAUAAAUUCAAAGCCAGCCUCAG
rnacentral:sRNA from 1 species